CAAGUAUCCACAACUUAUCGGUUGUUCAAGCGAAGAGCCUCGAAGUGCAUGAGAGGGUCUGUAGCUCAGCUGGUUAGAGCACCGUCUUGAUAAGGCGGGGGUCGUUGGUUCGAACCCAACCAGACCCACCAAUGAAUUGGUUGCUCGAGACAGUAGGGGGCUGUAGCUCAGCUGGGAGAGCGGCGGCUUUGCAAGCCGUAGGUCGUCGGUUCGAUCCCGACCAGCUCCACCAGGUUUCGAGACGAGAGGUAAGACAGGUCGAUGCGCAGAUGUGGGUGGUUCGUCGCACUGUCUUACUUCUUGCUGGGUAGCGAAGGUUGCCCGAGUUUGAGGUUCGUUCUUUAACAAAGUGGAAGAAGUGUAGUGCGCAUCGAGCCGGUGCGUACUGCAAGUUGUGUGAUUGCAUUGAUCCGGUGCUGAGCUUGUCAGCGCAGCGCUGGGUCGCACAAACGAGUUCGUUCCUGUACGAGGGUCUUCGAGAUCGAAAGAUCGGAGAGGGUCCAAGGUUAUAGGAUCAAGCGACUAAGUGCAUGUG
rnacentral:tRNA from 1 species